UGGGGAAUUUUGGACAAUGGGCGAAAGCCUGAUCCAGCAAUGCCGCGUGUGUGAAGAAGGCCUUCGGGUUGUAAAGCACUUUUGUCCGGAAAGAAAUCCUUGGCUCUAAUACAGUCGGGGGAUGACGGUACCAGAAGAAUAAGCACCGGCUAACUACGUGCCAGCAGCCGCGGUAAUACGUAGGGUGCAAGCGUUAAUCGGAAUUACUGGGCGUAAAGCGUGCGCAGGCGGUUUGCUAAGACCGAUGUGAAAUCCCGGGCUCAACCUGGGAACUGCAUUGGUGACUGGCAGGCUAGAGUAUGGCAGAGGGGGGUAGAAUUCCACGUGUAGCAGUGAAAUGCGUAGAGAUGUGGAGGAAUACCGAUGGCGAAAGGCAGCCCCCUGGGCCAAUACUGACGCUCAUGCACGAAAG
rnacentral:rRNA from 1 species